rnacentral:rRNA from 1 species
AUUGAACGCUGGCGGCAGGCCUAACACAUGCAAGUCGAGCGGAUGAAGGGAGCUUGCUCCUGGAUUCAGCGGCGGACGGGUGAGUAAUGCCUAGGAAUCUGCCUGGUAGUGGGGGAUAACGUCCGGAAACGGGCGCUAAUACCGCAUACGUCCUGAGGGAGAAAGUGGGGGAUCUUCGGACCUCACGCUAUCAGAUGAGCCUAGGUCGGAUUAGCUAGUUGGUGGGGUAAAGGCCUACCAAGGCGACGAUCCGUAACUGGUCUGAGAGGAUGAUCAGUCACCCUGGAACUGAGCCACGGCCCAGACUCCUACGGGAGGCAGCAGUGGGGAAUAUUGGACAAUGGGCGGAAGCCUGAUCCAGCCCUGCCGCGUGUGUGAAGAAGGUCUUCGGAUUGUAAAGCACUUUAAGUUGGGAGGAAGGGCAGUAAGUUAAUACCUUGCUGUUUUGACGUUACCAACAGAAUAAGCACCGGCUAACUUCGUG